CCUUCGGGGGANANANUGACAGGUGGUGCAUGGUUGUCGUCAGCUCGUGUCGUGAGAUGUUGGGUUAAGUCCCGCAACGAGCGCAACCCUUAAGCUUANUUGCCAUCAUUAANUUGGGCACUCUAANUUGACUGCCGGUGACAAACCGGAGGAAGGUGGGGAUGACGUCAAAUCAUCAUGCCCCUUAUGAUUUGGGCUACACACGUGCUACAA
rnacentral:rRNA from 1 species